rfam:Mus musculus chromosome 15, GRC primary reference assembly.
AUAGUUUCUCGGCCUUUUGGCUAAGAUCAACUGCAGCAUCUUACCUGGCAGAUUGACAGCUGCUAUGUUGACUCUAUGGUUAACUCAGCCACUGUUUACAUGCUAUCCUUCUUGUUUCAGCCAACCAAUGACCUGCAUUUUAUUGGACAUAAUUUGUAUGUGAGACAGAACACAUAAAGAUGAAUUCAUU